rnacentral:rRNA from 1 species
AGUCCACGCUGUAAACGAUGUCGAUUUGGAGGUUGUGCCCUUGAGGCGUGGCUUCCGGAGCUAACGCGUUAAAUCGACCGCCUGGGGAGUACGGCCGCAAGGUUAAAACUCAAUGAAUUGACGGGGGCCCGCACAAGCGGUGGAGCAUGUGGUUUAAUUCGAUGCAACGCGAAGAACCUUACCUACUCUUGACAUCCAGAGAACUUAGCAGAGAUGCUUUGGUGCCUUCGGGAACUCUGAGACAGGUGCUGCAUGGCUGUCGUCAGCUCGUGUUGUGAAAUGUUGGGUUAAGUCCCGCAACGAGCGCAACCCUUAUCCUUUGUUGCCAGCGGUUCGGCCGGGAACUCAAAGGAGACUGCCAGUGAUAAACUGGAGGAAGGUGGGGAUGACGUCAAGUCAUCAUGGCCCUUACGAGUAGGGCUACACACGUGCUACAAUGGCAUAUACAAAGAGAAGCGACCUCGCGAGAGCAAGCGGACCUCAUAAAGUAUGUCGUAGUCCGGAUUGGAGUCUGCAACUCGACUCCAUGAAGUCGGAAUCGCUAGUAAUCGUAGAUCAGAAUGCUACGGUGAAUACGUUCCCGGGCCUUGUACACACCGCCCGUCACACCAUGGGAAGUGGGUUGCAAAAGAAGUAGGUAGCUUAACCUUCGGGAGGGCGCUUACCACUUUGUGAUUCA